rnacentral:rRNA from 1 species
GAUGAACGCUGGCGGCGUGCCUAAUACAUGCAAGUCGAGCGAACAGACGAGGAGCUUGCUCCUCUGACGUUAGCGGCGGACGGGUGAGUAACACGUGGAUAACCUACCUAUAAGACUGGGAUAACUUCGGGAAACCGGAGCUAAUACCGGAUAAUAUAUUGAACCGCAUGGUUCAAUAGUGAAAGACGGUUUUGCUGUCACUUAUAGAUGGAUCCGCGCCGCAUUAGCUAGUUGGUAAGGUAACGGCUUACCAAGGCAACGAUGCGUAGCCGACCUGAGAGGGUGAUCGGCCACACUGGAACUGAGACACGGUCCAGACUCCUACGGGAGGCAGCAGUAGGGAAUCUUCCGCAAUGGGCGAAAGCUUGACGGAGCAACGCCGCGUGAGUGAUGAAGGUCUUCGGAUCGUAAAACUCUGUUAUUAGGGAAGAACAAAUGUGUAAGUAACUAUGCACGUCUUGACGGUACCUAAUCAGGAAGCCACGGCUAACUACGUG